UCAUAUCUGGUAAAUGUCUAUUAAAUAAGAUCAAAUAAAACCAAACUACCAAUCACACAAAUGCUACUGAAUGCUAAUAUGCUUGUUUGCUCGCUCCCUUUUGCCAGAAUUUUCAUGUUCAAACAACACAGGAGCUGACACUGCAGCAAAGCACAUCAAAGAAGCCAGUGUGGAAAUUUUUCUGUAUACACUGUAUAGUAUAAUAAGGCAUACUGAUUUAUACUUCCCCAGCAACCAUGUUAGGAACGUAUUUCUUCAGUUAAAAAGCGGUCAGAUGACUGUCCAACCAAACCAACUGUCACUCAACCACCCAGACCAACAGAGAAGAAUCUCCACUCAACAGUCAGUGGGCCAAAGCAAACUUUUUAAAUAUAUAUAACCAUCUCUAUCCAAAAUGCAUCAAAUGUACAAAAAAGCAUAGAAGAAUUCAGAUCAUUUUCUUGGAUUUCAACAUUUUUGCGCUGAGCAGUCCAGUUUCAAUUUGCAAUUAAGGAACUGUGCAGAUUAAAGAGACUCUUCUCUUUAUAAGUAUUUUUCUAUUAUAUUAUCAAAUAAAUAUAUCUGUUAGACUCUGACUUCCUAUUCAGUGUUAUUUUCAUUCUGACACUCACAUAAACCGCUUGCUUCCUCUCUACUGCAAAAGGUGAUGUAAGUAUGAUAAAGAAACUAACCUUAAAGAAAUGGGGAGGGGAUUUGUGGUCAGAAAUGCGGGGCAAGUUCAUUUUUCAGUAACAUAAGAUGGGAUGGACAAAAAAAAUCAAGAAUCACCAGAGACCCACAGAUAGGCAGGACAGGCUAACAAAAGCAAACUAACUGCAGGUUUAUAAUUUCCACUUAAAGAUCUUAAAGAAGCGACUAAACCAACAUGAUGACAUCACUGCUACUACUCAUCUUCUCAACGAUGACAGGUUGUGAGUUGAUGUCAGAUAGAAAGAACUGCACAGGAGGUUGGGUUCACGUCCCCUUCAACAACACUGAAACAAAGGCAAACUGUCAAAUGGCUUAUGGAAAUCAUACAAACUGCAUUCUCACAGUGAUCACCAGGAAACCUAUGAAUGAGAACAAAAACAAAACGGAAAAACAUUGUGAUGAACAGAAACUUGUGAAAUCAGACUGCAUAAAACCAUUUAAUCAAACUGGGUACAUUACUGCUAAAGUCACCAUCAGAUGUGAUUAUCCAAGAGAAGAAAACAAGUCCAGGGAGAUGUUUUUCUGCAAAGAUAAUAAUUCCAUCUGUGAGGAUAUUUUACCACCACAAUUUCAUCAAAAAUGGACAUUCACAAACAACAGCCAGGGCUUUAACGUGUCCAUCAGUAAUGUGUCCCUACAGGAUAAGGGUGUCUACUGGUGCGGAGUAAAAUUAUCUAAUAGCUAUGCACUAAAAAAAAUAAGGCUGGAAGUUAAAAGGGGACGACCCAUCUGCAUGUCAAACUCUUGCUAAUACCAACAACACAAGCAAGAACGAGAGGUUUUCCAUGAAUGACAACAAAACGCAGACAAACAUCAGCAUAACAGUGAGAGAAGUAACUGCAAACGACAGCGGGACGUACUGGUGUGGAGCAGAAAGCCCAAACAAACAACACAGUGACAUGUUCUUCAGCAAAUUAUUCCUGACUGUCGUAUCAGCAACAUCAUCUCCAACUACUGUUUCUUCUACUACUGUUUCACCAAGUUCUGGCCUCUUGGUGGAACCUAUUACUUUGACUCUGGUCUGUCUGUCCGUGUUGUUAUUUCCGGUAGUUUUGAUCCUUAUCUACAAACAAAAAAAUACAGGAACUGGCACAGCACCACAGCAUAACAGGGAGGACUGUUCCUAUGAAAGGAUACAAGAGAAGCUACGGAAGACAAACUCAAAAAAUCUAGAAAACCCUUCUGAAUCGGCAGAAUACGCUACUGUUAACUUUCAAGGCUGCUUUGACACAGUUCGACCCAGCACCACCACCUGUGAAUAUACUACUGUGAAGUUUGGCAGAUAUCCAACCAACGGUCCGUCAUUCAGCCACCCAGACUGACAGAGAAGCAUCUCAACUCAGCAGUCCUCAAACAACAGAAAAAAUUAAAAUAGAAGAAAAGAUCCGCUCAAAUUUACAAAAUGUGUGGUUAUGUUUUUGGUAGCUCUUGAUGACUCGUUUGAUAUGAUGGCUCGUUUGGAUUACAUCCACCAAGGCCUUCAAGGUUAACUUAAUGAUUUAUUGAUUGAAUAUUGGCAAAAAACAAACAAACAUAUAUCUUAGAAACUAUGAUUACAAAUGCCAUGUGUAUUUGCCAACAAGUAGAAAGUAGCAUAUAAAGAUUUAGAAUAUCCUGUCGUAUUUGACCACUGACCUCUCUUCAAGGUCAAAAGAUUAAUAUAAGUUUUAAAGUGAUAAUAAUGCUGUAUAGAGGUAUUUAAAACGAUGUUUCCUACUGCUUUGUUUGUAUUAUAGGCACAUAGGGAAUGAUAUAUGGGGAUUCAAAAUAUUUCAUUACUUUGGACCACUAACUCUUCUUUAAGGUCAAAUAAGGUCGAACUUUCAUAAAAUGCCUUUUAUCUUUAAAACUAUACUUGAAAUUCUACUUGCUUUGUUUGUAUUGGCAACAUUACAUGAUACUGGUAUAUGGGGAUUCUAAAUAUCACAUUAUAGUUUGCAUCCAAAAUAAAAUACCAUCCCUUUAAAUCCUGCCUGGAUAAUGAGCUGUCUUGGCAGAGGUUUCCGCUCUUGGAGUGCUUGUUGUUGCUUUUGAAUAACCUGUCUGCACACAAAUAGCUUUUUGAGUCACAAAGAUUUUUAAUGGGACUUCAACAGUGGUCUUAUUCUGCAGUCUUACGUUUGCGGGAGAAUUUCGGAAAUGGAGCAAAUCAGCAAGAUAUCUCUAAUCAGCAAACAAGCUUAGUGUAGCAUGUCAUUAUAGGAUACAGCAUCCAUCUGUGGCUCAAAUCUACUUGAGUUACAAUGAGUAUAAAAUCAGGACCUAGGUUGUAAAAUAAUAUAUCAAAAUGAAAAGGUUGGAGAAGUAGCUGUUAUUAAAGACUCUCCUUAAAGGUUAACUAGCCUUGAGCAGCUUUAAUACAUUAAAGCUGCUUCAAUAAAUAUAUUCUCCUACAGUGUUUAAGAACGUUUAACACAGUUAUGGUAGUGUGCCUUCAACGUAUGUAUCUGCUCCGGAUGAUCGAUUGGAGUAUUGUGCCUCUCAGAUCAUUAAUUCCAUUGUUGAUGCCAACAUUGAUUUCUGAUGGAUGUGUUUGCAAACAACAAAAAAGAAGUUGCACUUAGUUAAAAUUAGUGCUAUUCAUUGGUUAUCAGACAAACUGUUUGUUUCCAAAAGGAAAAACAGACUGAGACCUAAAAUGAUCAGAACUGGUUAAUAUGGGGGAGUUUAAGUCCAUUUACAGGAUCAAAUAGCUGGUCAUUGAGAUUUCUCUUAAAAUUGGUUUGAAAUUCAUCUGAAACUUCAUUGUUUUGUUUUAUUGUUAUUUUGUAUGAUUUUAACCUGUUGACUCACAAUUGUACUGCAACUGUUUGAGAGUUGUGUUUGUGUGCUGACUUAUUUUUUUUAAUUUUUACAAUCUCUGCUGCCAUUUUGGCCUCAUAACUUUUGAAAGAGAUUUUUAAUCUCCCUGAGCUUUUAGCUGGAUGACUAAAAAAUAAACAUACUGCAUGACAUAAACCA